ACGUGAUUUAUUUGAUUCAGAAUUUGAUACUAUGAAUUGGUUCUUCUUCUGCAUUUCAUUCACCCAAGUCCUUCAGCAGGGAAUUUAUCUAAAUGAAGCAAGCUUCUGUCUAGCGUACAUUCUCUUGAUUUUCCAGUAUACAAAGCUUAAAAUGUUUGGGAUCUCUUCUAAGGGUGGUGGUUAUGCCACGGUGUGGCCUAAAGCCUUUCCCUAGAAUGCACCUUUCAACCAGAAAUGAGGAGACUUCAACACCCUUUAGGCAAUUGCACUUCAGCCAAAGCAAGAGUCUUGGUUUUUGUUUCAGGCUUGCAGAUGGGUUUAAAGAGAAGAAAUGGGCAGCCAAAGUGGGUGCUCCAUUGAGUGAUGCAAUUUUUCAUGAAGUUGACCGAAGUGCAAGUAUUCCUCUGUUUGAUUUGGGUGAUAUUAGGGCAGCAAUUCUGAAGCAUUGUUUGGUUAAGAACCUUUGGAAGUCUAUGAACUAUGUUGUGAGGGAUGUUGUUGUGGUUGCUAGCCUAGUGUCUCUGGCACUUGAACUUGACUAUUGGGUUGUUUGGCUUUUCUACUUGUGUGCUUAGAGCACCAUGUUCUUAGAUCUCUUUGUUCUCGGCCAUGAUUGUGGUCAUGGAAGUUUCUCUCAUAACUCAAAGGUGAAUAGCAUCAUUGGUCAUGUUCUUCAUUCUUCAGUCCUCGUCCUAUUCCAUGCAUGGAGAAUAGGUCACCAAACCCAUCAUCAGAAGAUUCAGAACCAUGGAUUUAUCGAAAAUGAUGAGUUUUGGCAUCCAGUUUGAUUUGGAAUAUGUAUUUACAGCAGAGGAGCUGGAAACCAAGCUUUGACAUAUUAAAAAGCAAUGUGGCCAACCUACCUGUGAUGAUGGUAUUGAUGAGAAUUGAAUGAUCAUGAAAGGAUGCUGCAGAUUAGGCAGAUGCUAGCUAUAUGCCUUGUGCUUAUUAGAUUUUUAUAAGUUAAUUGUUUAUUAGAGCAUUGUCUAUCUUAUAUUAACACAUGGAUGUUCUUAGUUGAAGAUUUAUGAAAGAUAUCAGUAAAAGUGCUCAAGUUCAUUAGUCUGACUUGUAAAGUUGGUGUUGUACAUUGUUUUUAUAUUGUCCAGGAUGGCAAAACAUUUGUCUUGA